rnacentral:rRNA from 1 species
GACGAACGCUGGCGGCGUGCUUAACACAUGCAAGUCGAACGGAAAGGCCCUGCUUUUGUGGGGUGCUCGAGUGGCGAACGGGUGAGUAACACGUGAGUAACCUGCCCUUGACUUUGGGAUAACUUCAGGAAACUGGGGCUAAUACCGGAUAGGAGCUCCUGCUGCAUGGUGGGGGUUGGAAAGUUUCGGCGGUUGGGGAUGGACUCGCGGCUUAUCAGCUUGUUGGGGGGGUAGUGGCUUACCAAGGCGUUGACGGGUAGCCGGCCUGAGAGGGUGACCGGCCACAUUGGGACUGAGAUACGGCCCAGACUCCUACGGGAGGCAGCAGUGGGGAAUAUUGCACAAUGGGCGGAAGCCUGAUGCAGCAACGCCGCGUGCGGGAUGACGGCCUUCGGGUUGUAAACCGCUUUCGCCUGUGACGAAGCGUGAGUGACGGUAAUGGGUAAAGAAGCACCGGCUAACUACGUG